rnacentral:rRNA from 1 species
UGCCAGCAGCCGCGGUAAUACGGAGGGUGCAAACGUUGCUCGGAAUCAUUGGGCGUAAAGCGCACGUAGGCGGUUCGAUAAGUCGGAUGUGAAAGCCCUAGGCUUAACCAAGGAAGUGCAUUCGAAACUGUCGAACUUGAGUAUGGGAGAGGAUUGCGGAAUUCUCGGUGAAGAGGUGAAAUUCGUAGAUAUCGGGAGGAACACCAGUGGCGAAGGCGGCAAUCUGGACCAAUACUGACGCUGAGGUGCGAAAGCGUGGGGAGCAAACAGGAUUAGAUA